rnacentral:rRNA from 1 species
UUGGGUAGGGGAGCGUUCUGUAAGCCUGCGAAGGUGUGUCGUGAGGCAUGCUGGAGGUAUCAGAAGUGCGAAUGCUGACAUAAGUAACGAUAAAGCGGGUGAAAAGCCCGCUCGCCGGAAGACCAAGGGUUCCUGUCCAACGUUAAUCGGGGCAGGGUGAGUCGACCCCUAAGGCGAGGCCGAAAGGCGUAGUCGAUGGGAAACGGGUUAAUAUUCCCGUACUUGGUGUUACUGCGAAGGGGGGACGGAGAAGGCUAUGUUGGCCGGGCGACGGUUGUCCCGGUUUAAGCGUGUAGGCUGGUUUUCCAGGCAAAUCCGGAAAAUCAAGGCUGAGGCGUGACGACGAGGCACUACGGUGCUGAAGCAACAAAUGCCCUGCUUCCAGGAAAAGCCUCUAAGCAUCAGGUAACAUCAAAUCGUACCCCAAACCGACACAGGUGGUCAGGUAGAGAAUACCAAGGCGCUUGAGAGAACUCGGGUGAAGGAACUAGGCAAAAUGGUGCCGUAACUUCGGGAGAAGGCACGCUGACACGUAGGUGAAGUGAUUUACUCAUGGAGCUGAAGUCAGUCGAAGAUACCAGCUGGCUGCAACUGUUUAUUAAAAACACAGCACUGUGCAAACACGAAAGUGGACGUAUACGGUGUGACGCCUGCCCGGUGCCGGAAGGUUAAUUGAUGGGGUCAGCGCAAGCGAAGCUCCUGAUCGAAGCCCCGGUAAACGGCGGCCGUAACUAUAACGGUCCUAAGGUAGCGAAAUUCCUUGUCGGGUAAGUUCCGACCUGCACGAAUGGCGUAAUGAUGGCCAGGCUGUCUCCACCCGAGACUCAGUGAAAUUGAACUCGCUGUGAAGAUGCAGUGUACCCGCGGCAAGACGGAAAGACCCCGUGAACCUUUACUAUAGCUUGACACUGAACAUUGAGCCUUGAUGUGUAGGAUAGGUGGGAGGCUUUGAAGUGUGGACGCCAGUCUGCAUGGAGCCGACCUUGAAAUACCACCCUUUAAUGUUUGAUGUUCUAACGUGGACCCGUUACCCGGGUUGCGGACAGUGUCUGGUGGGUAGUUUGACUGGGGCGGUCUCCUCCUAAAGAGUAACGGAGGAGCACGAAGGUUGGCUAAUCCUGGUCGGACAUCAGGAGGUUAGUGCAAUGGCAUAAGCCAGCUUGACUGCGAGCGUGACGGCGCGAGCAGGUGCGAAAGCAGGUCAUAGUGAUCCGGUGGUUCUGAAUGGAAGGGCCAUCGCUCAACGGAUAAAAGGUACUCCGGGGAUAACAGGCUGAUACCGCCCAAGAGUUCAUAUCGACGGCGGUGUUUGGCACCUCGAUGUCGGCUCAUCACAUCCUGGGGCUGAAGUAGGUCCCAAGGGUAUGGCUGUUCGCCAUUUAAAGUGGUACGCGAGCUGGGUUUAGAACGUCGUGAGACAGUUCGGUCCCUAUCUGCCGUGGGCGCUGGAGAACUGAGGGGGGCUGCUCCUAGUACGAGAGGACCGGAGUGGACGCAUCACUGGUGUUCGGGUUGUCAUGCCAAUGGCACUGCCCGGUAGCUAAAUGCGGAAGAGAUAAGUGCUGAAAGCAUCUAAGCACGAAACUUGCCCCGAGAUGAGUUCU